UACGGGAGGCAGCAGUGGGGGAUAUUGCACAAUGGGGGAAACCCUGAUGCAGCGACGCCGCGUGAGUGAAGAAGUAUUUCGGUAUGUAAAGCUCUAUCAGCAGGGAAGAAAAUGACGGUACCUGACUAAGAAGCUCCGGCUAAAUACGUGCCAGCAGCCGCGGUAAU
rnacentral:rRNA from 1 species